AGUCGAACGGUGAAGCCCAGCUUGCUGGGUGGAUCAGUGGCGAACGGGUGAGUAACACGUGAGCAACCUGCCCCUGACUCUGGGAUAAGCGCUGGAAACGGCGUCUAAUACUGGAUAUGUGACGUGACCGCAUGGUCUGCGUCUGGAAAGAAUUUCGGUUGGGGAUGGGCUCGCGGCCUAUCAGCUUGUUGGUGAGGUAAUGGCUCACCAAGGCGUCGACGGGUAGCCGGCCUGAGAGGGUGACCGGCCACACUGGGACUGAGACACGGCCCAGACUCCUACGGGAGGCAGCAGUGGGGAAUAUUGCACAAUGGGCGCAAGCCUGAUGCAGCAACGCCGCGUGAGGGAUGACGGCCUUCGGGUUGUAAACCUCUUUUAGCAGGGAAGAAGCGAAAGUGACGGUACCUGCAGAAAAAGCGCCGGCUAACUACGUGCCAGCAGCCGCGGUAAUACGUAGGGCGCAAGCGUUAUCCGGAAUUAUUGGGCGUAAAGAGCUCGUAGGCGGUUUGUCGCGUCUGCUGUGAAAUCCGGAGGCUCAACCUCCGGCCUGCAGUGGGUACGGGCAGACUAGAGUGCGGUAGGGGAGAUUGGAAUUCCUGGUGUAGCGGUGGAAUGCGCAGAUAUCAGGAGGAACACCGAUGGCGAAGGCAGAUCUCUGGGCCGUAACUGACGCUGAGGAGCGAAAGGGUGGGGAGCAAACAGGCUUAGAUACCCUGGUAGUCCACCCCGUAAACGUUGGGAACUAGUUGU
rnacentral:rRNA from 1 species